UGUCGCUCAAACCUGCAAUCAAGAACAACAUGUAAGCAUUUUGGGGCUAUUUUGUAGCAAAUUAUACUCAAAACAUAGGCAAGUAGGGGCAUAAAAUACGUUAAACUCCUACUUAUCAACAGUUGAGAAUCAAAUUUUUUUUUGCAGCAGUUUAGGAGAAGAGGCCGAGAAUGUUCUAUGAUGUUUUGACUUGCAGUGUAGCAUUUGGGAGGAAGAUGAGAAAAGACUUAGGAUUCGUAGUGUGAUUGUCAGAAUGGGCAUACCAAUUGAGGAUACGAAUGUGCGCAGAAGGAAUGCAUGAAACGGUUCAUGGGAUUUGAGACAAUGGUGUCUCGUGAUUCAAGCUCACUUGGGAUGAGGGCAGAUGGAGUGUGUUAUGUGUUGAAUAGAGUUAUUAUUAUUAUUUCUAAAGCAAUCAAGGAUAAAUCAAAAUAAGAUAGAUUGGUUAGCCAUAGUUGAGUUGGCAUAUUGGUGGAAGUGAUCAGUUCAUCUAACGUGAUCAAGUUAUGCAUGUGAUUUGUGGCGGUACAUGCGAGGCUGACGGUCGCCGUAAUCGAUUUUAUUUGGAAGUAUUAUGGCCUUGUUAUGUGUAGGCGAAUCCUGAAAGGGUCAUGGUGGUUUAGAUCACAAGUUGAGGAUUUGAAUGCUCUACGAUUAUGAGAAUUCGCUUUUGUGUUGCUAUGAUUCUCCUAAAUUAAAUGAAAAGUUUCUUUAUGAUGAAGUAUCAAUCUAUUAGUGGUUCCGGAGUUACGAGGAAAAUCGUGUUCUAUCAUAUAUUGGCGUGAUAGGUGCAGUGAGUGGUAGGAAUUUAGAGUGAGGAUCAAGGUUGCAGUUUGGUGUUGUCAGGGAUGUCAUGAGCUCGGAUGAGCAGGAAAAGAGCUUCAAUGUUUAAAGUAAGUUGGUAUUAUCUUCGGCGUCACUUGAGAUCGUUGUUUGUGAAGAAGGCUUUGCACCCGGUUAAGGAUUCUUGAUCGCUUUUAAGUGUUAGUGCAGCUGGUGGUUUGGAUGUACUGACCUGUUAUCUGUUAUAGAAGGUUGUGGGAGUGUGCCCCACAGGAAGGUUGUAUAAGUGUGGCAUGUAGUCACUUGAUUGAUUGAAGAGUUAAACCAAGUAAGAAGAUUAUGAUGAUGUCAUUAAUUUGAGAAUUGAUACCUAGAAGGCACUCGGUUUAUUGGGUCGUGGACUGUGGUGAUUGCUCCGGUUAUGAUGGUUGCUCUUGUCUGUUUUGGGAAAAGAGGGUUAUUAUGGACCUAGGAAAGAUUAUCGGCCUAGUUCGGUACAAUCAGAAUCAUCUUGAGGUCUAUAUAUGGAUUUAAAUGUGAAUAUGGGCUCUAUAUUAGGCUAGAUAUGUGCAUUUCAGCAAUGCGCUCCUUAUGAAAGAGUAGUCGGGGUGUUAUUUUGUCGUCAGCUAUUUCAUGCAAUAUGUAUUGCGUCGUGCGAGUUGUGAGACGCUUUGGUGAAUUUCUUAUGUAUUGAGGUUCCGCAUAGAGAUGAUGUCAUAUGAGUAGAAUGUCUCUUGAGAUUCGGAUCGUAUAUCACACCUCAAUUGUGCUUGAGUUUGUAGCUUAUAGCACUAUAUCUCUCCCUACCGAUGGUAUUAUGCAAUUAGCGUGCUUGUGACUGACAUUUGACAUUUUGUUGUAGUGGGCAAUCUAGCACAGUGUGAUGUUGAGUAUAGUCCCCAUAUCUGUUUUUAUGUGUUUUGUUUCCUAUUUAUCUAAGGAAAACACAUAUUAGCCGUGUGCACGCGUCGCAUAUAUGAUUCACAAGUGGGGUGUCUGUUCAAUUAUGUUGAUCGCGUCACAUGUAUGAUUCGUGAGCGGGGUAAUUGGAUUUCCUUUCUAGAGUACAUUUUCCUUUUUUAUCGCAUUCGAAUUAGUAACCUAUUGGCAUAUUGUAGAAUCAUAUGAGAUUUUUUUUAUCGUGUCCGAGGUAGCUUAUUGCCAAAGCUGUUUGUACUGGGUGAGAUGAGAUCAUUGGAUUUAGGAUCAGUGCAAUCUGAUUAUAUAAAGUAUAUUAAGGAGCUAAGACCAUUAUUUGGUUUAGAAUAAGGUGAUGGUCCUUUUCAGGAGUAUAGACCUAAUGAUUGUUGAUUCGGCAGUUGGUUAUGAAUUUCUGCACAUCUCUUCCGUGGUGAUGGUAUUGUAAGAGCUAGAGCAAGGCCUAUGCAUGUCAUGAGGUGCAAUGGAAGCAUCAGGUUUGUGGAAUUUUGACUAUUACGCUCAGAGAAUGUUAUUGUAGUCCUGUGAAUAAAGCAAAGCCAAGGUGUGAAUUUAACAAGGGUAUGCAAUCAUGUUCUGGUACAUCAAUGUGGUGAUUGAUAUGGUGUUCGUAUGUUGGAAACAUGCCUGGCAGUGAAUUCCGGAUGUUGGAAUUAAGCUCUAAAGCUUAUUUGCAUAAGUGAAAAGGGAUAUCUUUAGAUUGAUCAAGCUAGGGCACCCAGCUGAGUUGUAGUAGCACGGGUAGGUGCUCGAGGUAGUGACCAGUGAUUUCGGACAACUCCAGCGCAAAUCUUAGCACGUCAGAGGACGAACGUAUGUUUAAGGGGGAGAGAUUAUAACGACCCGACCAGUCAUUUAGAGCUUUAGCACGUCGUUCAACGGUUUGAGGCCAUGAGGAGCAUCACUUCAGGUAUUAUGACUUGUGCGCAUAUUCGAAACUGCAUUUCGGGUAGUUCGGAGUGGACUUGGAAAGAGAAUUCUCAUUUCGGAAGGUUUAAGUUGAAAGAAUUAUCUAAGAUUGGAUUUAAGAUUAAAUGACCUUGGAAUCGGGAUUUGAAGGUUCCAGUAGGUUCGUAUGAUAAUUUGGACUUAGGCUUAUGCUUGGAUCGGGUUUCGGAUGACACGGGAGCAUUUUGGCGCCUAUUGUAGAAGUUAGCAUUUUGGAAGAAAUUUUAGAAGUUUGGGUUGAAGUGCAUUUCAGUUUUAUCGAUGUCCGUUUGGGGUUUCGAGUUUGGCAGUAGCUCUGUAUGGUGAUUCUGGAGGUAUGAGUGUGGUUAGAAGUGUAUUUAGAGGUCCGUAGGUCAUUUUGAAGUCAUUUGGCUAAAGAUAGAAAUUUGAAGGUUUUUGAGAAGUUUGACCGAAAGUUGAAUUUUUUAUAUCGGGGUCGGAUUCUGAUUCCGGAAGUUGGAAUAGGUCCUUGAUGUCAAAUAUGACUUGUAUGUAAAAUUUGAGGCCAAUUGGGUGCGAUUUGAUGGGUUUCGACGUCGAAUGUAGAAGUUUGAAAUUCAAAAGUUCAUAAAGCUCGAAUUGGAGUGUGAUUCAUAGUUUUAGCGUUGUUUAAUAUGAUUUGAGACCUUGAGCAAGUCUGUAAUGUGUUUUGGGAUACGUGAUUAGUUGUCCAGGGGGCCUCGGGUGGAUUCUGGGUGGUUAACCGAUCAAAUUGGAACUUGGAGAAAGAGCUGAAGUUGCUGGCUGCUGGUAUAACCACACCUGCGGCCCAAGUCUCGCAGGUGCGGAGCCACAAAAGCGACCAAAGGUGCGGCGGAGAAGGUAGAAGGCUGGGACCGCAGAUGCAGUCAAGUCGUCACAGAAGCGGGACCGCACCUACGGAAGAAGGAGCGUAGAAGCAAAAAUAAGGGGUCUGGGAAGGACCACAGAUGCAGUAGUGGGGCCGCACCUGCAGAACCACAGAAGCGUUCGGAUGACCGCAGGUGCGGAAGUGCUGAGGUAGUAAGAUAUUUAAAAAUCGGGGGGAGUUGGUUAUUUUCCCCAAUUUUUCAUUUGGUGUGGAUGGUUUUGGGGAGCUUCAAGUGAGGUUUUUCAUCAUCAAUGACAAGGUAAGCUAACCCCACAUAUCUUGAGUUAAAUAUACUGAUUAUGUGCGGAUUUGAGCAUGAAAAUUUGGUAAAAACUUGGGGUUUGAGGGAAAACCUAGAAAAUUGAUAUUCUUGAAUUUUGACCACGAUUUUGGGUAUGAAAUUAAGAAAUAAUCAUAUAGUUGACUUUUUGAGUUCAUACGUAACUUUAUCUUCGAAAAAUUUAGGAUUCUAGGCACGUGGGCCCGAGGGCAAUUUUGUCAACUUUUCGAUCGGGGUUAGAAAUUGUUAUAAAUUGGGUUGUAGUGAGUAAUUAAACAUAUAUUAAUGGAUUUGCAUAAUUAUUGGCUAGUUUUUGAGCAUUGUGCAUUAAUUCGAGUCUUCGGAAGAGCGUGGAAUGUCGGUUAUGAAACUUCGGAGCAAGGUAAGUCUCCUUUCUAACCUUGUAAGAGGGAAUUGUCCCCGUAGGUGAAAUAAUCGAUUAUGUGCUUUUAUUUGUGGGGGCUAUGUACGCACAAGGUGAUGAGAGUCCGUGCGUAGCUACUAUUAUGUUUAAAUCUGGGUAGUCUAGGACACAAGAGCAUGCUAUACUUGAAAUAUUUGUAAUCAUGUUGACAGUUGAUUUGCUUAAAUCACAUCGAAAUAGUAAAUGGAUUUCUAGAAAGAUUAAACUUCAUUUCCUAAAAUAUUUAAACGAGAAUCAGCUUUUCUUUGGAUAAUUGUUCCAUGUUGACUACUUGAUUAACUGUUUAUAUGCAUUUAAUUUCUGAAUGGGCUGAACGCCUCGGUAGAUUAAAUAGAUACAUCUAUCUGAAUGGGCUGAACGCCUCGAUAGAUUAAAUAGAUACAUCUAUGGUCCACGCCAUUCGACCCUUUGGUAGUGCGCUGUUUAAAUAUUAUUGGAUCAGACAGUACGUCCUCGGUAUGAUAUGCACAUGCUUGUAUUUAUUACUUAAGAAUUAUAAAUGUUGAUAUUUUCCUUUCCUGGCUCGAUAUAAAUUGAUGAAGAUAAUGAAAAGUAAUCUUGGAAAUCCUUUAUUAUUUGAGAAGGUAUUUACCUGCUUUCCAGAUUUAUGAGUUAUAAUUGCUAUAUAAAUCCAUGAUUUCCUUACAUUUUUACUAUAUUAUUAUUGGAUCGGUAGCAAGUAUCAAAGUCGCCCUAUCAUCUCUACUUCUUCGAGAUUAGAUGGGAUACUUGUUGAGUCUACAUUGUUUUCAUACUCAUACUAUACUUGUUGUGCAUUUUUGUUGCACAUGCACAUGCAUUAUUAGUGGCCUGUGAUCGGUAGCAAGUAUCAAAGUCGCCCUAUCACCUCUACUUCUUCGAGAUUAGAUGAGAUACUUGUUGAGUCUACAUUGUUUUCAUACUCAUACUAUACUUGUUGUGCAUUUUUGUUGCACAUGCACAUGCAUUAUUAGUGGCCUGUGAUCGGUAGCAAGUAUCAAAGUCGCCCUAUCACCUCUACUUCUUCGAGAUUAGAUGAGAUACUUGUUGAGUCUACAUUGUUUUCAUACUCAUACUAUACUUGUUGUGCAUUUUUGUUGCACAUGCACAUGCAUUAUUAGUGGCCAGUGGACGUAUCUACAUGGUUUAUAUGGAGACUUAUGUGAGCUGCACUUCUCGAGACGACCCGUAUUCGGCAGUCUCUUUCAUAUUAUUGUUUUUUACUUUAUGUCCAAUUUGUAUUCCAGACGGUUGUUGUAUUAUAUUAAUUCCUAGACUCAUGCACUUCUGACAUCGGGUUCUAGGAUGGUUAUAGAAUUGUUCAAUAUUAAGUUGGUUAAAGACAUUUCCUUAUUUGAGUUUCAUUAUUUGUUGCUUAAUGUAUAAAAGUAACAAUUCCAAUAAGUUCUAAAACGAGAAAUCACUAGUUAUUUAGUAUUGGCAUUCCUGACAAUGGUGUCCGGUGCUAUUACGACAUAUAGUGGAUUUUGGAUCGUGAGAUUUUCAAUUCCACCUUCUCUCACCUCCCUCCCCACUCCCCCUACUUUUCAUUCACAACCAGCUAGCAUCAACCAAAAGUAAAACAGUGAAUCAUUCACACACCUUUCUAAUUCGUUCUUUUAGCAAUUGUCACUUAUAAGUCGCCUUUAGCAAUUGCGUUUUAUAAGUCAGCAUGUAGAAAUUGUUACUUACAAGUUACAUGUAGUUACUAAAAAAUAUUUGAGAUUAAUGAGUCGCAUUUAGAAGCGAUUUAUAGGUUGCAUUAAUAAUUGCAAUUUAUAAGUCUCAUUUAUAUAUUGCGAUUUAUAUGUUGCAUUUAACAAUUGACUAAGAGGGUAAGAGAACGUCAUUUAACAAUUGAAUAAAGGGUUAAGAGAACACACCAUAAAGUUUGAGCAUGUAACAAAGUUUUUUGGACAAAUUUGGGAAGUAACUUAUGUAUUUUCCCUAAAAACUUCAUCAAAUGGAACAUCGAACGAAACCACCACGGACAUGCUUUUUUGCUCCUAGUUGUGUAUGCUGAUUCCAUAUCAUCAAACAUUGGCAUUCCAUAGAUUUGAAAGGAGCUCACCGCAUUUAUUAUCACAAAAAUACUUAUCAGAGCUAACACGGAUCGUGAAACGUCUUGACUAUGAAAUGCAAACAAUGCGGUUAACAUGCUCCCAUUUGCUGGAAUCUGAAAUAAAAUUGUGUGAUAUUUGGAUUAUUUAAAAGUUAAUUAAUUACAAGUAUAUGUAUCAUAAUUUUUAAAUGGUAUUAUUACUUUUAACCCGUGCCAGAAAUUAUUUACAUUUGGUAGACGAAAAAGUGUAUAAAUUUUUUAUAAUUUUUGUAUACCAUACAUUAUGUGUAUAUAUGUAUCCCAUAAGCAUGAAGAAUAAAAGUUAAAUAUGAAAGGUCAAAAUGACCCUAUAAUAUUAUUAGACUUCUAUGCCCUAAAAAGUUAUAUUACUAAUACCUUCAAUAGUUAUAACAAAGUUAGUUUUGUAACAUUAAAUUGACUGGGAAUUAUUAAAGAAUUUAUUAAGCUAUAUAUAUCUAAAUUCUUCGCUUUACAAAGAUAUGCUCUUUAACUUCCCAUGCGUAUAAUAACUUUUUCAAGCUAACAUUUAUGGUUCAUUUGUUUUAUCUUUUCCUUCUAUUUUUCUUAGCUUACGUAUUCAGAUUUUUAUUAUUUCUAAAUAUGCCUUCUUCAAAGUGAGGAAAUCGUUUGAAAAACAAAGAGUUUUUUAGGAGAACAUGCGAAAAUAUUAAAGAGACAUAGAUCCGUCACAAAUCUAAAAAGAUCGGACGAUUUAAAGCUAGGGUUUCCAGGGAAAACCCAAAAAGAGAAGCAGACUUAAAUAUUACCGGCGUUUGGCUGAAAAUAUAAGGAUCUUACUCGAACGGUCAUAGGAGGCCGGAAAAUGUGGCAUGAUAUCAGAGAUGGGAGGGUAUUGCCUCAGGGUCAGUUGAGAUCCUCUAUUGGUGACACAAGCAUGAUAGGCGGAGCCAUAAGGUCGAAGAGAGGUGGAAACUCCAUAGUUUCCAGUGGGAAGGUGGCCGGAGAUGGAGAGACGGAGCUUAAGGGGGACGAACGUUCUAGAGAGAGUUGAGAGGAUUCAGAUAAAGACUGCUGAAUGUUAUGAGUGAGGGGGAAAUGAACCGG
rnacentral:lncRNA from 1 species